rnacentral:rRNA from 1 species
GCUGAAAACCCUCACACGAACGAAAGACCUAGCGCUCUCUCCUUUCGUCUCUCGCGACUGGCGGCGGCGGUCGAACGAGGCCACACGGCGGCGGCAGAGCGAAUAGGUGCUUUCCAAGCUUCGCCAGAGGUGUAAACCCUUCGCCGGAGGCCUCAGUCCCUUUCCCCCGCUGCUUGAGCAAGAUGAGCAAGAUGGCGAUCAGGGUUCCCAAGAGCAUGCGCGCCAAGCGCGAGCUCCUCAAGCAUGCGCCCAAGCUCGUUGAGAAUGGCAAGAAGAUGCUUAUUCUUCAUGGUACAAAGACCAGCGCAGUUUUGAACUCUGUGCUGGCAGAUCUUUUCCACCUGAAGCGUGAUCAUGCUGUCAAGUACACCAAGAAGAACGACAGCAUCAGGCCAUUUGAGAGCGGGGGUGAAACUUCCCUGGAGUUCUUCUCCCUUAAAUCUGACUGCAGCCUCUUAGUGUAUGGUUCUCAUUCAAAGAAGAGGCCCAACAAUCUUGUUUUCGGAAGGACUUACGAUCACCACAUAUAUGACCUUGUUGAAGUAGGAGUUGAGAACUACAAAUCCAUAGAAUCCUAUGCAUAUGAUAAAAAGUUGGCACCUAAACUUGGAACAAAGCCUUUCUUUGCCUUCAUUGGGGAGCACUUUGAGAGUGUUGAAGGACUGAAGCAUUUGAAGGAAAUGCUGCUUGAUCAUUUCAAAGGAGAGGUGGUAGAGAAUCUGAACCUUGCUGGUGUAGAUCGGAUAUUCGUGUGCACAGCAAUUUCUCCUACUACUGUCUACAUGAUGCACUGCGCUCUCCGUCUAAAAAGGUCAGGCACCUCUAUUCCUAGAAUGGAGCUGGUUGAAGUUGGGCCUUCAAUGGACCUGGUACUUAGGCGGCACCGACAAGCAGCUGAAAGUUUACAGAAAGAAGCUAUGAAGGCUCCUGGUCAUGCUAAGAAGGUGAAAAAUGUCACAAAUAAUCCAGUUGAAGGCAAGCAGGGCAGGAUCUACAUUCCAGACCAGGAGGUUUCAAAAUUGACCGUAACAAGCAACAUAAAGGGUCUGAAGCGUGAGCGUCGUGAUGCCAAGAAAAACAAGGAGCACUCGAAGAAGCAAAAGGUGGCUGAAAACUAGAGAAGGCUAAUAUCUGUAACCGGUCAGUUUAAGGACUUUCGGUCGAUAGGUUGAGUGGUAAAUAGUCCAGUACCAUCCUUUAAAGCUAUCAAACCUGUGUAUGGACUUUGGCGUCAGUAUCGAGGCAGCUUAUCUAUCAGACAUAAGAAUGGAAUUUUGGAGCAACAUAUGUUACAAGUAUUUCUGUUUUACUGUUGUUAUUAGCACUGACAUUAGCCGACGAGAGGCGAUUGUUGUGAUGACAUGGUUAAGUUUUGUUAUCAUGGACGUUGUGCCUUUUCUGAAUCUGCAUUUCCUCCGUUUUUGCAACCUUAUCUUUAUCCAUGGUGUUGUGAAUACCGUAGGCUCUGUGAAAGUGCAGCUUGCGCUGAACUGCAUCUCAACAGUUGGGCCAGCCCCUGGUGUCGCUCAGCGUUAG